rnacentral:rRNA from 1 species
UACGUAGGGCGCAAGCGUUGUCCGGAAUUAUUGGGCGUAAAGAGCUCGUAGGUGGUUUGUCGCGUCUGUUGUGAAAGCCCGGGGCUUAACUCCGGGUUUGCAGUGGAUACGGGCAGGCUAGAGGCAGGUAGGGGAGAACGGAAUUCCUGGUGUAGCGGUGAAAUGCGCAGAUAUCAGGAGGAACACCGGUGGCGAAGGCGGAUCUCUGGGCCUGUCCUGACGCUGAGGCGCGAAAGCUAGGGGAGCGAACAGG